rnacentral:rRNA from 1 species
CCUGGUGGCAAUAGCGGAGGGGACACACCUUUUCCCAUUCCGAACAGAGUAGUUAAGCCCUCCAGCGCCGAUGGUACUGCUUGGGAGACCUUGUGGGAGAGUAGGACGUUGCCAGGA